rnacentral:rRNA from 1 species
AAUCAACGCUGGCGGCGUGCCUCAGACAUGCAAGUCGAACGAGAAAGUUUCCUUCGGGAGACGAGUACAGUGGCGUCCGGGUGAGUAACACGUGGGUAAUUUACCUUUGGGUGGGGAAUAGCAGCCGGAAACGGCUAUUAAUACCGCAUAAUGCAGCGGCUCGACAUCGAGACAGUUGUUAAAGCGGGGAUCUGACAAGGGACCUCGCGCCUAAAGAGAAGCCUGCGCAGAUUAGCUAGUUGGUAGGGUAAUGGCCUACCAAGGCUGUGAUCUGUAGCCGGCCUGAGAGGGCGGUCGGCCACACUGACACUGACACACGGGUCAGACUCCUACGGGAGGCAGCAGUCGGGAAUUUUGGGCAAUGGGCGCAAGCCUGACCCAGCAACGCCGCGUGAAGGAU